GAUGAAGAACGUAGCGAAAUGCGAUAAGUAAUGUGAAUUGCAGAAUUCAGUGAAUCAUCGAAUCUUUGAACGCACCUUGCGCCUUUUGGUAUUCCGAAAGGCACACCUGUUUGUGCGUCAUGAAUACCUCAAUCUCCAUCUUUUCUUCGGAUUGAUGGGUGACUUGGAUGUUGAGCCCUGCUGGUAUGCUAUAUCAGCUGGCUUUAAACUUAUUAGCCGGCUCUGUACUGGAUCGGUUUGACUCGACGUGAUAAUAUUAUCGUUGAGGAUGCAUGUCUCAUGCAGCCGGAAAGUAUCAAAGCAGCUUCUAGCUUGCCUUUAGUGCACUUUUACAUUUUAGACCUCAGAUCAGGUGGGACUACCCGCUGAACUUAAGCAUAUCAAUAAGCGGAGGA
rnacentral:misc_RNA from 1 species